rnacentral:rRNA from 1 species
UACGUAGGGGGCAAGCGUUGUCCGGAAUCAUUGGGCGUAAAGAGCGUGUAGGCGGCCCGGUAAGUCCGCUGUAAAAGUCAAAGGCUCAACCUUUGAAUGUCAGUGGAUACUGCCGGGCUAGAGUCCGGAAGAGGCGAGUGGAACUCCUGGUGUAGCGGUGGAAUGCGCAGAUAUCAGGAAGAACACCAACGGCGAAGGCAGCUCGCUGGGACGGUACUGACGCUGAGACGCGAAAGCUAGGGGAGCGAACAGG